rnacentral:sRNA from 1 species
GAUAGAGGAACGAAGGCUAAAAGCAUCACGUCCUGUGAUAACGCCUUCUACCAACAUCCUGCCGC